GACGAACGCUGGCGGCGUGCUUAACACAUGCAAGUCGAGCGGAGCGGCGGACGGGUGAGUAAUGCCUAGGAAUCUGCCUGGUAGUGGGGGAUAACGUCCGGAAACGGGCGCUAAUACCGCAUACUAUCAGAUGAGCCUAGGUCGGAUUAGCUAGUUGGUGGGGUAAAGGCCUCCCAAGGCGACGAUGCGUAACUGGUCUGAGAGGAUGAUCAGUCACACUGGAACUGAGACACGGUCCAGACUCCUAGGGGAGGCAGCAGUGGGGAAGAUUGGACAAUGGGCGAAAGCCUGAUCCAGCCAUGCCGCGUGUGUGAGUGAGGUCUUCGGAUUGUAAAGCACUUUAAGUUGGGAGGCGUUACCAGCAGAAGAUGCACCGGCUAACUUCGUGCCAGCAGCCGCGGUAAUAC
rnacentral:rRNA from 1 species